rnacentral:piRNA from 1 species
UUCAACGGCUCAGUUGUACUUGAUGGA